rnacentral:Y_RNA from 1 species
GGUUGAUCUGAGUGCAGUGGUGUUUACAACUAAUUGAUCACAACCAGUUACAGAUUCCUUUGUUCCUUCUCCACUCCCACUGCUUCACUUGACCAGCCUCAA